rnacentral:ncRNA from 1 species
UCAGAAAAUAUGUGGACCUUUCAUCAGGAUGUUUGAGGAAUGAUCAAGGAGUGGUAGGAUAAGUAUAAUGUUAUAAUUAGAUGGGCUUUGGAUUAUGAGGAAGCUAUAAUUUUCCGCAAUGGGCGAAAGCCUGACGGAGCAAUGCCGCGUGGAGGUCGAAGGCCCACGGGUCGUGAACUUCUUUUCCCGGAGAAGAAGCAAUGACGGUAUUCGGGGAAUAAGCAUCGGCUAACUUUGUGCCAGACUGCCAGCAGCCGUGGUAAGACAUAGGAUGCAAGCAUUAUCCGGAAUGAUUGGGCUAUGUGAAAGAAAAGUUCAAGGAUUUU